GACAGAGAUCGAGGAAAAAGAAGACAGGAAGUCGUUUGUCUUUGUCAGAUUGUCUAAGGUAUAUCCCAGAUUCAACGAGGGACAAAAACGAAUGUUGUAAUGUCGCUUUAAACGAGACCCGAAGAAUCCACAACAAACCGCUAACUGGCAAUUUAGCGGCGCGUGCCGCACAAGUCGAGAGAGAGAAUAUAAUAACAGGUAAAUCGCGCCCGAAGCUAUUUCCGUUAUCCUAACAAAGCGUUCCAGUCACGUUAAUAAAGUGCGUUAGACACGGGAGUACAUUUAUUGGCCCGGUGAAUCGCGAUGUAAAUUAAGAGAUGCCCAGAAGAUAUCUGUGGAGAAAGCCGUACGGAUAUCGAGGAUAAUCGUAUAUCGAAGACACCGAUAAGGUAGAGUUACAAAUCGUUGGUACACGGAAAGAAGGAAUCUCUCUUUUGAAAAUACGUUUUACGGAUCGUGGAAUACGAUCCGUAGAAUACGGGACAUCACAUUCCGCGAAAACGUCCGCUCGUUCCACCGAUUUAUAGAUCUCGAUUUGCGUAAUGCGUAUCUGCGAAAUUCGCAUUUACUACGGAAAAUUGGAGCGACCGGCGCGGAUCUCCUGGCCGGAAGUGCCGUCAUAAACGUGAUGAACUGAAGCGUGCACGACAAGAGCAAGAAACGCCGCGGCGAAAGCGGAUCGAAGAGGGCGAAGUAGACGAAAAAGAGCAGACGUGGAUCGCGAUGAAACACGGCUCGCGGCUAAUGACUUUGAUGAAAGGCCAGACCAGAUACAUCAGCGCGGGUGGAUUUCCGUUCCUUGAAGAAGACUGGGAAUAUACUUACGGAACGGAUGACCUCACACAGAGCAGAGCUCCGCGAUGCCAGUCGUGUGAAACGACAAAGGCGCAACAACAGUUAUAAUAAUUGCCCUAGCAACCGUUGAUAUUGUAUAACGCCGAGGGAAUUUCAAGGCUUUAUUCUCUUAUCGUAUAUUUCGAUCGUAUAUAUUUUAAUCUUGGUGCAGUAGGUCGGCGUUACUUAAAAUUGAACGGAACGUUGCAAUUUGCAUCCAAUUACGAUCGCACGAAGAGAAUUUCUGGCGGGAUUUUCCCUAUACGAGGGCAAUCGGCGAGAAGAUUCGAGGCUGCUGUUCUUAUUCUUUGAAAAUGCAAUCGAGAGUCGACAGAGAGAAAGAGAGAGACAAUAAAGAUCGAGGAAGAAAGAAACAGAAAUAAAAUUUAAAGGGACAAAGGAGAGUAUUUUAUUUCUAAAUCGCUUCGAGUCCCAUGGAGCACAUUCUAUAUUACAUGACGCAGUAAAAAUAAAAUUGAGAUCGGCGCAAAUAUGUUCCGCAUCUGCCGUCACUUGAUAAAGUGAUUAUCCGGCAAAGCGGUAGCUCAAUAUUAAGAUCUUGGUCGUCGCAAUCAACCGAGGUACUUGCACAGAUUAACUGCGGUUUGAAGAAAAUUGCACGAAUGACGUUGAAAUUUCCACUCAACGCGCCGGGAACAUCGGCUGCGGUAAAAGAAAAACGAGUUAGAACGAGGUACGUACGAUGAAUUUACGGCGUGCAUAAUCGUCGAACGAUUCUGAUUUUCCCCGGAUGGGAACUACUGCGCGUUAUGGUGAAAUCUAUUGGGACACCUGUGGGCAGGUGUGGAGAAGCGGUUUGUCGUGGGUAUUAAGUUCUUGUGUACUUACACCGGUCAUUCAAGAAGGACUAUUAGAUGAAGUGUUGAUGGACGUAGCACGGUUUCGUGCUGAAGCAGCGAUAAAUCAACCUGACGUUAAUCGCGAUGCGCCACUCCGUGCAUCUGAAUGAAUACACUUAAACGGCCGAAGGAAAUUGGAUCUUAUUGGGAGGAACGGGAUUUUAUUUGAAAUUGGAGGCAUCCGACCGAACGAGAAGCAAGCUGUAAAAAUCGAGAAUUUCAAGAUCGGACGUCUCGCCUUACGAAUUUGCCGGCCAUAUAAAUGUCCCAUUGAAAUGCGAGAAAUAGCUAUCAGCAGUAUCAUAGUGAGAUCAUUUUCCCGCCUACUGACUCAUUGCUAGUCUACCUCAUCGCGGACUGCGAAAGGAACUGGGAUAUGAAGUUACAGGAAUUUUUUACAUUUCCAGUAUUAGUAAACAAAAAAAAACUAUCAGCAAGAGUCAAUGAAAAUUAAUGACUUAACUCGCAAUACACUAAAGAGUCGCAGUAAUCGAGGAUGUCGAGGUGCCAAUUAUCGCUUCUGCUCAAAUACCGGUAUCCGAUGAUACCGAUGUGCUUCUAUCUUAUCUUGCUGCGCGUCUGUGCUUUGUAUCUGCGAUCUACACGUCCCACGAAUUAACGCUUAUCGUAAUCAGAAAUUCUGACGAUGCAAUUUUAUGAAAUAAAUGAUGCCACGUUUGGUCCUUUUCGUUUCUUUUUCGCUCACCAGGACGAACAACCCUUCAUUAGUUCGACGAUCAACGAGACGAUUAUUAUGAUUAUUAUGAUUAUUACGAUAAGACGAUAGUUUUGAGCGAUUGUGUCAAGAUUAAUUACGCGACAAUUACUUCAAAUGAUUUAUACGUUUUGUAAUUAACGCUUGUAAUAAUAUAUGUAAUUGGAAUUGUAUAAUUCCAUUGCUGCUUGAGAUAUAACAGAUCUUUAUCAAAUAAAAU